AGUGAACGCUGGCGGUAGGCCUAACACAUGCAAGUCGAACGGCAGCACAGUAAGAGCUUGCUCUUACGGGUGGCGAGUGGCGGACGGGUGAGGAAUACAUCGGAAUCUACUUUUUCGUGGGGGAUAACGUAGGGAAACUUACGCUAAUACCGCAUACGACCUACGGGUGAAAGCAGGGGAUCUUCGGACCUUGCGCGAUUGAAUGAGCCGAUGUCGGAUUAGCUAGUUGGCGGGGUGAAGGCCCACCAAGGCGACGAUCCGUAGCUGGUCUGAGAGGAUGAUCAGCCACACUGGAAGUGAGACACGGUCCAGACUCCUACGGGAGGCAGCAGUGGGGAAUAUUGGACAAUGGGCGCAAGCCUGAUCCAGCCAUACCGCGUGGGUGAAGAAGGCCUUCGGGUUGUAAAGACCUUUUGUUGGGAAAGAAAAGCAGCAGGUUAAUACCCCGCUGUUCUGACGGUACCCAAAGAAUAAGCACCGGCUAACUUCGUG
rnacentral:rRNA from 1 species